GCGAGACAGUAGUGGGCUGGGUCUUCCGGGGCUGACAAGAAUCAUGUAAGAUGUGAGAGAUAAGUUACAUCAUGAAUUUUAAAAAAAAAUCUUAAAUAUCUGUUAGAAAAAUCCAUCUCCAAUUUUCAUCACGUCAUGCUAAAUAAAAUCAUCUCACUGAAAGCUCUGGAAACUUUCUAGUCAGCCUGGACAUGGUUCUAUCUAUUCGACAUUUAUCAAGUCCCCUCAUGUAGAUAUGGAUUCUGUACACUGAUGGAAGGUCCCUUGCUGAGGAUGUAAAUGGAAGCUGAUAUCCAAGUCAUGUGUCCUGGAAACUGCUGUCAUUACCUGAAGGAAGGAGCACCUAUUUCCUUAAUCAAAGAUGCCAACUACCCUCUAGGCUGUGAAGCUGUGGCGCUAGAUUUCUCUGAGUGGCAGCCAAGGCUCCUUGGUGCUUUCUAACUUGCAUGAAAACCAUCACAGACACUAGCAGGUCCUGUGUAUGGCCAGUAUUUUAAGCUCUGAAAUGAUACAGCACCAUGGGUAAGAGUGUCAGCCCCGAAAUCAAACUACUGAGAUUCUGAGUUCUGCAACCUGUCUAGUGAGUCUUACGAUUUCUCAUCAGUAAGAUUAGGUCAAUAUUAGUGCCAGCCUCCCAGAGCUAAUGUCAGGAUCCAAUGCAACAUGUAGAUAAAGUAUUUUGUACAACACUGACCACAGAGUUUGAAUCCAAGGGAUAUUGAUGAUUUAUGGUUAAUUGCUAAUGCCAUUUUUGACGCUAGCUUUGGUGAAUGACUAGUAUCUGCAUUCAUGAAGCCACCACCACAGCCAGUUGGCUCCCUCUAUUCUCCAGUGUCCAGCCCCGUCACCCGCCACAUGGUGGCCUCCCUACUAUCCAUGUCUGGUACCUGUACUUCCACUCGGAGUCACAUCACUUUUCAAUCUCCACUCCUCUUCCCUGCAACUUUUGCUUCUUUUGGCCAAUUUACUAGCUUUCUCGUAUCUAUGGAGGAAGUUCCUGAAUUAUCUGUCCUCACAGACAGACUCAGGUCUCCUAAAAACAAACAAAAAGAAGAAGCCACGAUGGUUUGACAUUCAAACUGGGUCAACAUCUUCAACCAUCUUUAAAUUAUUGAGAUACCCUCUUUGUACUUGGAGUGAGAUUUGGUUGGUAAAACCAAAUUCUAGGAUUAAAAUAUUAAAUCUAUCAUGCUUAUUUUAAGGUUAAAUAAGGACUUUUAAAAAU